UGCAGUCGCACGGGCAGUAGCAAUAUUGUCAGUGGCGGACGGGUGAGUAACGCGUAGGAAUCUAUCCUUGGAUGGGGGACAACCGUGGGAAACUACGGCUAAUACCGCAUAAUGCCUGAGGGCCAAAGACGUAAGUCGUCUGGGGAGGAGCCUGCGUCUGAUUAGGUAGUUGGUGGGGUAAAGGCCUACCAAGCCUGCGAUCAGUAGCUGGUCUGAGAGGAUGAUCAGCCACAUUGGGACUGAGACACGGCCCAAACUCCUACGGGAGGCAGCAGUGGGGAAUAUUGGACAAUGGGGGCAACCCUGAUCCAGCAAUGCCGCGUGGGUGAAGAAGGUUUUCGGAUUGUAAAGCCCUUUUGGCGGGGACGAUGAUGACGGUACCCGCAGAAUAAGCUCCGGCUAACUUCGUGCCAGCAGCCGCGGUAAUACGAAGGGGGCUAGCGUUGCUCGGAAUGACUGGGCGUAAAGGGCGCGUAGGCGGCUUACAUAGUUAGGCGUGAAAUUCCUGGGCUCAACCUGGGGACUGCGUCUAAUACAUGUAGGCUUGAGUGUGAAAGAGGGUCGUGGAAUUUCCAGUGUAGAGGUGAAAUUCGUAGAUAUUGGAAAGAACACCGGUGGCGAAAGCGGCGACCUGGUUCAUUACUGACGCUGAGGCGCGAAAGCGUGGGGAGCAAACAGGAUUAGAUACCCUGGUAGUCCACGCUGGUAACGAUGUGUGCUGAUGUUGGGGUGCUUAGCACUUCAGUGUCGUAGCUAACGCGGUAAGCACACCGCUGGGGGAGUACGUCGCAGUGAACUCAAGAUGACGGGGUCGCCAGCG
rnacentral:rRNA from 1 species